rnacentral:rRNA from 1 species
AAGACGGGUGGCUUAAGGCCAUUAUGCCAGCAUCCUUGUCAAAAGACGCAGUCCUCAGUCUAGGUAGGCAGUAUCAACAAAGGCUAUAACACUUGACCGAAGCCGAGCCACAUUCCUUCGCCAUUCUCCUACCACCCAAACUGAUGCUGGCCUGGUAAAACCAAGUCUGACCUCAAGCCCUUCCCUUUCAACAAUUUCACGUACUUUUUCACUCUCUUUUCAAAGUUCUUUUCAUCUUUCCUUCACAGUACUUGUUCGCUAUCGGUCUCUCGCCAAUAUUUAGCUUUAGAUGGAAUUUACCACCCACUUAGAGCUGCAUUCCCAAACAACUCGACUCGUCGAAGGAACUUUACACGGAUUUGGGCAGCUCAUCACACGGGAUUCUCACCCUCUAUGACGUCCUGUUCCAAGAAACAUAGACAAGCGCCAAACCCAAAGAUACCUUCUUCAAAUUACAACUCGGACACCAAAGGUGCCAGAUUUCAAAUUUGAGCUAUUGCCGCUUCACUCGCCGCUACUGAGGCAAUCCCUGUUGGUUU